UACGUAGGGUGCAAGCGUUGUCCGGAAUUAUUGGGCGUAAAGAGCUCGUAGGCGGUCUGUCGCGUCGGCUGUGAAAUCCCGGAGCUCAACUCCGGGUCUGCAGUCGAUACGGGUAAACUGGAGUACUGCAGGGGAGACUGGAAUUCCUGGUGUAGCGGUGAAAUGCGCAGAUAUCAGGAGGAACACCGGUGGCGAAGGCGGGUCUCUGGGCAGUAACUGACGCUGAGGAGCGAAAGCGUGGGGAGCGAACAGG
rnacentral:rRNA from 1 species